AUUUAUUCGGUUUUUGUUGAGGGACUUCCUCUGGGUAAGGCACCGUCUUAGGCCCUGAGGAUAUAAAGACAAGAUGGCUGCCUCCUCUGGGUGCUCACAGGGUAGGAGGCAAGCAGGCAGUGGGUGAGUGCAGCGACAGAGAGCACAGUCUGUGGAGCUCAGGAAAGGCUUCUGAGAAGAGAGACAAAGAUAAGGAAACUGAGUCAAGCACAGGGGACAAGUGAGAGGAGCAGAGUAGAGAGUGGGGCAGAGCCUUCUAGGCAGGAUCUGAGGAGGCAAGAUACGAUGUGGUGAGAGUGAAGAACUCUUAGCAGCAACCAGAUCCUGGCCACGUGUCUGUCAUGCCAGGAUCUGGACUUACAUUGCUCUUCCCAGGCACCAGCUGUGCACCUGAACUCAGGGCCACUGACCUGUGCAGACUUUCCUCGUGUAGACUUGGUGCCCUUCAGAACCUGCUCUGGGAUCCGCCAUUGUAGUAUUCUGCCCGUUUAUUGGGGACAUAGUGGCCUGUCAUCUGCUGUAGUCUCCUGAUCCUGCCCUGCUGUUCCUCCCUGCAUUUAUGGGCAGGCUUUCUGACUCCUGGAGUGUUCUGUGCUCUUCUUGCUAUUGUUAGGUCAUCUGGGGGUUGAGUCAGAGGGGCCCUGACCCCGAUGGUACCCCAGAGGACAUCUUCCUUGGCUCGCUGUGGUGGGAAGAGCACAGCGGGUUGACAGAAGGUUUCCAUUGGCUGCCUCAUCUCUGCUCUUGGACAGGGUUGUCAUCCUUUGAGCAUGACGAGGUCAAGAGGAAUGAGAGACGAGGAGGACGUGGGCAGUUUGGCAGUGACGGAGAUCAUCUCUGCCUUUAGGAACGAGACAGGGUUAUUGUCUGGAGCUAAGGAAGGAAACUGAAAGGCCAGGAUUAGACUACCAGUGCUGCCUAUCACUGUGUGAGCUCCCCACCAAACAAACAGGCAAAAUGAUCCUCCGGGCACGGCCCACUGGGAAUAGCGCAGAGAUGCAGAGGACAGAAAUCCCGAGGACAAUUCUGUAGCAAGAGACUUGCACUUUUUUCUUCACAGAAAGGCCCAGGCAAGAGAUCCUGGAGAGAAAGCUCUGGAAUAAUCCCUCUGAAGGCAGCACAACAGGGAGAAGGGCCUAGGACCUCCUGAGAAGCCAGAGGGAAAAAGAACUACCAGAAAAAAAAAUACAAAAUUAACAGCCAGGAACAUUACAAAGGAGGUGUCUGAAUUAAGCAAAGAUACUAAAAAAG
rnacentral:lncRNA from 1 species